AGGCAGCCAGGCUCCGCGGGCAUCGCGGCCCCUCCUUAUUCUUUUUCCUCUUUCAGUUCGUCAGCAGUGGUGCCCACUUUGACUUGAAGACCUUGUCGGGGAUGGCUAGGAGAACGACGCCCCAGAGGAAUGAGGAGGAGGAAGGUACCAUGGAAGGGAGGCCCAGGGGCUGAGCACAGAGGACCACUCACCUGCCAGUAUUCAUGCCAGGAAGUCUCCACCCCAGGUCUGUCCUCCCAGUAGGGC
ensembl:lncRNA